UUUUCUCUCCAAACACAUACCCAUAAUCGACAGCCACUAUUCCAGCAAGUUUCCCGUGAAGCUCCGACCGACAAGGGUCCUUCUUAGGUGGAGUCACACACAUACUUUAAAUUUUCUACAAGAAAAGAGAAGGAUUAAGAUUCAAGUGUGGUCCUCAAGCCAAUUCAAGAGGAGACUUUACUUUCUUGAUUUGGUGGCACUAACAAGUUUCAAGAGAAUUGCGAGUUCAAGUGUGGAGUAGACGUUGCUUUCUUGGUGAGAAUUACAAGUUCACUUCGAGGUCGAGCAUUCGUUUCCUUGUCGAGCAUGUAUUUUCUUCUAUUUUUGUUGUCGAGCAAUAUGUUUUUAAGGAAUUGAUUAUAUGUAAAUUUUAUGUCUUCUUCUUUUUUUCCACUGUAUAUGUAAAUAUGUUUUCACACCUGCCCAGUUAACAUGCACGAACUUCCUCACUAAAAAGCCUGCACAAACCUGCACAAUUCCAUACUUAUACUUAUUGAGAAGUGAAUAAAAUGAAGUCAUAGAUUU